GCCGCCCUGAGUUCUUGCGUUUGCAGCAGGCGGCGGUGGUGAGCGGGUCACGUAAUGAAGCGCGAUUUAGGGAUAGGUCAGGCGCCCGCUGGGAGAGGAAAUAAGGAGCCCAGAGGACCCCGGAGAUAAAAAGGAUGAAACAUGGCCCAUCUCAAUGGGUAAAGUCUCACAAAAACUUGCUGCCACAAACUGUCACUUGUGUUGAUACUGCUCUACUCUGCUGGGAGGGACCUCACUCUGGUGUUGAGAAGAUCUGUCACUGCUUCAGCACUGUCGGGACAAGUCAGG